UACGUAGGUGGCAAGCAUUGUCCGGAUUUAUUGGGUUUAAAGGGUGCGUAGGCGGUCCUAUAAGUCAGUGCUGAAAUAUCCCGGCUUAACCGGGAGGGUGGCAUUGAUACUGCAGGACUUGAGUAAAGUUGAGGUAGGCGGAAUUGACGGUGUAGCGGUGAAAUGCUUAGAUAUCGUCAAGAACACCGAUAGUGAAGACAGCUUACUAAACUUUAACUGACGCUGAGGAACGAAAGUGUGGGGAGCAAACAGG
rnacentral:rRNA from 1 species